AACGAACGCUGGCGGCAGGCUUAACACAUGCAAGUCGAACGCCCCGCAAGGGGAGUGGCAGACGGGUGAGUAACGCGUGGGAAUCUACCCAGAUCUUCGGAACAACUGAGGGAAACUUCAGCUAAUACCGGAUACGCCCUACGGGGAAAGAGAUUAUCGGUUCUGGAUGAGCCCGCGUUGGAUUAGCUAGUUGGUGGGGUAAUGGCCUACCAAGGCGACGAUCCAUAGCUGGUCUGAGAGGAUGAUCAGCCACACUGGGACUGAGACACGGCCCAGACUCCUACGGGAGGCAGCAGUGGGGAAUAUUGGACAAUGGGCGAAAGCCUGAUCCAGCCAUGCCGCGUGAGUGAUGAAGGGCCUUAGGGUUGUAAAGCUCUUUCAGUGGGGAAGAUAAUGACGGUACCCCACAGAAGAAGCCCCGGCUAACUUCGUGCCAGCAGCCGCGGUAAUACGAAGGGGGCUAGCGUUGUUCGGAUUUACUGGGCGUAAAGCGCACGUAGGCGGAUCGUUAA
rnacentral:rRNA from 1 species